rnacentral:rRNA from 1 species
AUGCACGCUGGCGGCGUGCCUCAUCCAUGCCAGUCGCGCGAACAGACGAGGAGCUUGCUCCUCUGACGUUAGCGGCGGACGGGUGAGUAACACGUGGAUAACCUACCUAUAAGACUGGGAUAACUUCGGGAAACCGGAGCUAAUACCGGAUAAUAUAUUGAACCGCAUGGUUCAAUAGUGAAAGACGGUUUUGCUGUCACUUAUAGAUGGAUCCGCGCCGCAUUAGCUAGUUGGUAAGGUAACGGCUUACCAAGGCAACGAUGCGUAGCCGACCUGAGAGGAUGAUCGGCCACACUGGAACUGAGACACGGUCCAGACUCCUACGGGAGGCAGCAGUAGGGAAUCUUCCGCAAUGGGCGAAAGCCUGACGGAGCAACGCCGCGUGAGUGAUGAAGGUCUUCGGAUCGUAAAACUCUGUUAUUAGGGAAGAACAAAUGUGUAAGUAACUAUGCACGUCUUGACGGUACCUAAUCAGAAAGCCACGGCUAACUACGUG